rnacentral:rRNA from 1 species
AGCAGCCGCGGUAAUUCCAGCUCCAAUAGCGUAUAUUAAAGUUGUUGCAGUUAAAAAGCUCGUAGUUGAAUUUCGGGAUCAAUAUGUCGGUCGUGCCUCGGUACGUACUGGCGUCAUUGGUUUCUCCCUUCUGAAGAACCUUGAUGUCAUUAAUUUGGUGUCUUGGGGAAUCAGGACUGUUACUUUGAAAAAAUUAGAGUGUUUAAAGCAGGCUCGCGCUUGAAUACAUUAGCAUGGAAUAAUGAAAUAGGACGUUUGAUUCUAUUUUGUUGGUUUCUAGGAUCGACGUAAUGAUUAAUAGGGAUAGUUGGGGGCAUUAGUAUUCAAUUGUCAGAGGUGAAAUUCUUGGAUUUAUUGAAGACUAACUACUGCGAAAGCAUUUGCCAAGGAUGUUUUCAUUAAUCAAGAACGAAAGUUAGGGGAUCGAAGACGAUCAGAUACCGUCGUAGUCUUAACCAUAAACUAUGCCGACUAGGGAUCGGAUGAUGUUGAUUUUUUAAUGACUCAUUCGGCGCCUUACG